rnacentral:rRNA from 1 species
AGUGAGCGCUGGCGGUAGGCCUAACACAUGCAAGUCGAACGGCAGCACAGUAAGAGCUUGCUCUUACGGGUGGCGAGUGGCGGACGGGUGAGGAAUACAUCGGAAUCUACUUUUUCGUGGGGGAUAACGUAGGGAAACUUACGCUAAUACCGCAUACGACCUACGGGUGAAAGCAGGGGAUCUUCGGACCUUGCGCGAUUGAAUGAACCGAUGUCGGAUUAGCUAGUUGGCGGGGUAAAGGCCCACCAAGGCGACGAUCCGUAGCUGGUCUGAGAGGAUGAUCAGCCACACUGGAACUGAGACACGGUCCAGACUCCUACGGGAGGCAGCAGUGGGGAAUAUUGGACAAUGGGCGCAAGCCUGAUCCAGCCAUACCGCGUGGGUGAAGAAGGCCUUCGGGUUGUAAAGCCCUUUUGUUGGGAAAGAAAAGCAGCAGGUUAAUACCCCGCUGUUCUGACGGUACCCAAAGAAUAAGCACCGGCUAACUUCGUG